CCUACGGGUGGCUGCAGUGGGGAAUAUUGGACAAUGGGGGCAACCCCGAUCCAGCCAUGCCGCGUGUGUGAAGAAGGCCCUCGGGUUGUAAAGCACUUUCAGUGAGGAAGAACGCCUGGUGGUUAAUACCCAUCAGGAAAGACAUCACUCACAGAAGAAGCACCGGCUAACUCCGUGCCAGCAGCCGCGGUAAUACGGAGGGUGCGAGCGUUAAUCGGAAUUACUGGGCGUAAAGCGCGCGUAGGUGGCUUGAUAAGCCGGUUGUGAAAGCCCCGGGCUCAACCUGGGAACGGCAUCCGGAACUGUCAAGCUAGAGUGCAGGAGAGGAAGGUAGAAUUCCCGGUGUAGCGGUGAAAUGCGUAGAGAUCGGGAGGAAUACCAGUGGCGAAGGCGGCCUUCUGGACUGACACUGACACUGAGGUGCGAAAGCGUGGGUAGCAAACAGGAUUAGAUACCCUAGUAGUC
rnacentral:rRNA from 1 species